rnacentral:rRNA from 1 species
CCUACGGGGCGCAGCAGUGAGGAAUAUUGGUCCAUGGCCGAGAGGCUGAACAAGCCAAGUCGCGUGAGGGAAUAAGGCCCUACGGGUUGUCAAACUCUGUUGUCGGUGAGCAAAGCGUACCACGGGUGGGUCAUUUAGAGUACCCGAAGAAAAAGCAUCGGAUAACUACGUGACAGCAGCCGCGGUAGAAAGGAGGAUGGAAGACAUAGCCGGAUUGUUUGGGGUAACAGGGUGCGCAGGCGGAGGGGAAACUCAGCGGUCAACGUGCGGGGCUCAAACCCGUACUGCCGUGGAAACGGCAUCCGUUGAGUGCGCGAGAAGUAUGCGGAAUGCGUGGUGUAGCGGUGAAAUGCAUAGAUAUCACGCAGAACUCCGAUUGCGAAGGCAGCAUACCGGCGCGCAACUGACGCUCAUGCACGAAAGCGGGGGUAUCGAACAGGAUUAGAUACCCGUGUAGUC